rnacentral:rRNA from 1 species
GACGGGGAUGCAAGUGUUAUCCGGAAUCGACUGGGCGUAAAGGCGUCUGCAGGUGGUUCCUAAGUCCACUGGUUAAACCUUGAGGCUCACCUCAAUCUGCAUUGGAAACGUAGGAGACUUGAGUGAUAGGUAGGGGUAGAGGGAAUUUCCGAGUGGAGCGGUGAAAUGCGUAGAUAGUUGGAAAGAACACCGAUGGCGAAGGCAGCUCUAGCCUGGGCUAUUACUGACAGCUCGAGAAGACGAAAGGCUAGGGGAGCAAAUGGG